UACGAAGGGGGCUAGCGUUACUCGGAUUGACUGGGCGUAAAGGGCGCGUAGGCGGAUGGUACAGUCAGACGUGAAAUUCCUGGGCUCAACCUGGGGGCUGCGUUUGAUACGUGCUGUCUGGAGUUCGGAAGAGGGUCGUGGAAUUCCCAGUGUAGAGGUGAAAUUCGUAGAUAGUUAGGAAGAACACGGUGGCGAAGGCGGCGACCUGGUCCGAUACUGACGCUGAGGCGCGAAAGCGUGGGGAGCAAACAGG
rnacentral:rRNA from 1 species